rnacentral:lncRNA from 1 species
CACAACCUUAACCUUUUCUUCUUUCUCUCUCUUAACUUGCCCUGGAAGGAAGGAGGAACAAAAAAAUCCUUUUUCCCCCCCUGAGCUAUCUCAUAAAAGAGAGCAGAUAAUAAAUACCACCAGCUGUUCGAUUUCACUGGAGAGCAGGAAAGAAUGAGGCUGCUGUAAAAGCAGAGGCAGUUCAUGAAUGAGUCGUGCCAUAUUAACUUGUUACCUUUAACGGGGCCCUCCUAGCAGAUUCCCAGGCUACAGCCAUGGAGGAUAAUUCCAGGGUGCAGAGCAAUGCCAUGCGUCAGGCUUCCCAGGAUUUCUUGACUGCUACACAGUUCAACUUCAUCAUCCGUAAAUACAAAAGAUACAGAUGGCAGAAACGGAUUUUACAGAUUGAUUUAAACACCAAAACCAUUUUUAACAUUGAGAAUGGUAUCAUCAGAAAACAGUUCCCAUUUUGCCAAAUCAAGUACUGGGAAAGUGGAGAGGGGACCCGGUUUAACAUUGCAUUUCAUGGGCACCAGGAUUAUGUACUAGAGGCAACAUCCCUAGAAGACAAAAGGAAACUGGUGCACCUUUUGGAUAAGAUCCUGUGGAAAUCUGCAGAAUCUGCUUUGGCACAGAUUGACCAGCAGGAUGGAGCUGUACAUGAAGGCUUGCUGGAAUUGGAGCAGAAUGGUCUGGAAGCUGCUAAAUGGGUCAAGUGCUUGGUACAGCUCCAUGAAAGACAGCUGACCCUGUAUCCUCUUGGCUUCAAUGAUGAGAAUGGGAAAACUAAUAUGGAAGCAAGCAAAGUACAAUUGUCUGAUGUGAGAGUCCAUAAAGAAAAUGAAUAUGAUGAAUUUUCAGUCCAGACUAAAAAAGACAAUUAUUUAUUGAAAAAUCCAUCUGGUCAACAUGUGACCUCCGGAAGAGAAAAAUUGAUGUGA